rnacentral:rRNA from 1 species
GACGAACGCUGGCGGCGUGCUUAACACAUGCAAGUCGAACGGAAAGGCCCUGCUUUUGUGGGGUGCUCGAGUGGCGAACGGGUGAGUAACACGUGAGUAACCUGCCCUUGACUUUGGGAUAACUUCAGGAAACUGGGGCUAAUACCGGAUAGGAGCUCCUGCUGCAUGGUGGGGGUUGGAAAGUUUCGGCGGUUGGGGAUGGACUCGCGGCUUAUCAGCUUGUUGGUGGGGUAGUGGCUUACCAAGGCUUUGACGGGUAGCCGGCCUGAGAGGGUGACCGGCCACAUUGGGACUGAGAUACGGCCCAGACUCCUACGGGAGGCAGCAGUGGGGAAUAUUGCACAAUGGGCGGAAGCCUGAUGCAGCAACGCCGCGUGCGGGAUGACGGCCUUCGGGUUGUAAACCGCUUUCGCCUGUGACGAAGCGUGAGUGACGGUAAUGGGUAAAGAAGCACCGGCUAACUACGUGCCAGCAGCCGCGGUGAUACGUAGGGUGCGAGCGUUGUCCGGAUUUAUUGGGCGUAAAGGGCUCGUAGGUGGUUGAUCGCGUCGGAAGUGUAAUCUUGGGGCUUAACCCUGAGCGUGCUUUCGAUACGGGUUGACUUGAGGAAGGUAGGGGAGAAUGGAAUUCCUGGUGGAGCGGUGGAAUGCGCAGAUAUCAGGAGGAACACCAGUGGCGAAGGCGGUUCUCUGGGCCUUUCCUGACGCUGAGGAGCGAAAGCGUGGGGAGCGAACAGGCUUAGAUACCCUGGUAGUCCACGCUGUAAACGGUGGGUACUAGGUGUGGGGUCCAUUCCACGGGUUCCGUGCCGUAGCUAACGUUUUAAGUACCCCGCCUGGGGAGUACGGCCGCAAGGCUAAAACUCAAAGGAAUUGACGGGGCCCCGCACAAGCGGCGGAGCAUGCGGAUUAAUUCGAUGCAACGCGUAGAACCUUACCUGGGUUUGACAUGGAUCGGGAGUGCUCAGAGAUGGGUGUGCCUCUUUUGGGGUCGGUUCACAGGUGGUGCAUGGCUGUCGUCAGCUCGUGUCGUGAGAUGUUGGGUUAAGUCCCGCAACGAGCGCAACCCUUGUUCACUGUUGCCAGCACGUUAUGGUGGGGACUCAGUGGAGACCGCCGGGGUCAACUCGGAGGAAGGUGGGGAUGACGUCAAGUCAUCAUGCCCCUUAUGUCCAGGGCUUCACGCAUGCUACAAUGGCUGGUACAGAGAGUGGCGAGCCUGUGAGGGUGAGCGAAUCUCGGAAAGCCGGUCUCAGUUCGGAUUGGGGUCCGCAACUCGACCUCAUGAAGUCGGAGUCGCUAGUAAUCGCAGAUCAGCAACGCUGCGGUGAAUACGUUCCCAGGGCU